GAUAGAGCUAGAAGAGAGAGAGAUGAAAGAGUAGGGUCUGAUAGCCUACUUUUUUUUUGGAAUUCAUGGGCAAAGCUUGAGGUUGAUGGCCGCUGGUAGGAGUCAUCUAAUUGAGACCACGAUACGAGGGGCAGAACUGCAGGGAUGCCUCGACAGGCAUUAUUUUUGCAAGAUUGGCAUUAGAAGCUAACCAUCUUGUUAUCGAGGGCGAUUCUGCAAUUGUGGUCAGUUAGAUCUAGGGGC
rnacentral:lncRNA from 1 species